rnacentral:lncRNA from 1 species
AUGUUACCUGGUGAUAUGGUGCUGCUAGUGAUAGACAACAUACUCAGAAUGUUACCUGGUGAUAUGGUGCUGCUAGUGAUAGACAACAUACUCAGAAUGUUACCUGGUGAUAUGGUGCUGCUAGACAACAUACUCAGAAUGUUACCUGGUGAUAUGGUGCUGCUAGACAACAUACUCAGAAUGUUACCUGGUGAUAUGGUGCUGUUAGACAACAUACUCAGAAUGUCACCUGGUGAUAUGGUGCUGCUAGACAACAUACUCAGAAUGUUACCUGGUGAUAUGGUGCUGUUAGACAACAUACUCAGAAUGUCACCUGGUGAUAUGGUGCUGCUAGACAACAUACUCAGAAAGUUACCUGGUGAUAUGGUGCUGUUAGUGAUAGAUAACAUGCUCAGAUUGUUACCUGGUGAUAUGGUGCUGCUAGACAACAUACUCAGAAAGUUACCUGGUGAUAUGGUGCUGUUAGUGAUAGACAACAUACUCAGAUUGUUACCUGGUGAUAUGGUGCUGCUAGUGAUAGACAACAUACUCAGAAUGUUACCUGGUGAUAUGGUGCUGCUAGUGAUAGACAACAUACUCAGAAUGUUACCUGGUGAUAUGGUGCUGCUAGUGAUAGACAACAUACUCAGAAUGUUACCUGGUGAUAUGGUGCUGUUAGACAACAUACUCAGAAUGUCACCUGGUGAUAUGGUGCUGCUAGACAACAUACUCAGAAUGUUACCUGGUGAUAUGGUGCUGUUAGACAACAUACUCAGAAUGUCACCUGGUGAUAUGGUGCUGCUAGACAACAUACUCAGAAAGUUACCUGGUGAUAUGGUGCUGUUAGUGAUAGAUAACAUGCUCAGAUUGUUACCUGGUGAUAUGGUGCUGCUAGACAACAUACUCAGAAAGUUACCUGGUGAUAUGGUGCUGUUAGUGAUAGACAACAUACUCAGAUUGUUACCUGGUGAUAUGGUGCUGCUAGUGAUAGACAACAUACUCAGAAUGUUACCUGGUGAUAUGGUGCUGCUAGUGAUAGACAACAUACUCAGAAUGUUACCUGGUGAUAUGGUGCUGCUAGUGAUAGACAACAUACUCAGAAUGUUACCUGGUGAUAUGGUGCUGCUAGACAACAUACUCAGAAUGUUACCAGGUGAUAUGGUGCUGUUAGACAACAUACUCAGAAUGUUACCUGGUGAUAUGGUGCUGCUAGACAACAUACUCAGAAUGUUACCUGGUGAUAUGGUGCUGUUAGACAACAUACUCAGAUUGUUACCUGGUGAUAUGGUGCUGCUAGUGAUAGACAACAUACUCAGAAUGUUACCUGGUGAUAUGGUGCUGCUAGACAACAUACUCAGAAUGUUACCUGGUGAUAUGGUGCUGUUAGACAACAUACUCAGAUUGUUACCUGUUGAUAUGGUGCUGCUAGUGAUAGACAACAUACUCAGAAUGUUACCUGGUGAUAUGGUGCUGCUAGUGAUAGACAACAUACUCAGAAUGUUACCUGGUGAUAUGGUGCUGCUAGACAACAUACUCUGA